rnacentral:rRNA from 1 species
CCUACUGGAGACAUCAUUGGGGCAUCUUGCACAAUGGGGGAAACCCUGAUGCAGCGACGCCGCCUGAGUUCCUCCUUCUUUCUUUCUUUCCCUCUCUCUCCUCCUUUCCUCAAAUGACGGUACCUGAUUAAGAAGCCCCGGCUAACUACGUGCCAGCAGCCGCGGUAAUACGUAGGGGGCAAGCGUUAUCCGGAUUUACUGGGUGUAAAGGGAGCGUAGACGGCAGCACAAGUCUGGAGUGAAAUGCCGGGGCUUAACCCCGGAACUGCUUUGGAAACUGUGCAGCUAGAGUGCAGGAGAGGUAAGUGGAAUUCCUAGUGUAGCGGUGAAAUGCGUAGAUAUUAGGAGGAACACCAGUGGCGAAGGCGGCUUACUGGACUGUAACUGACGUUGAGGCUCGAAAGCGUGGGGAGCAAACAGGAUUAGAUAACACUGUAGUC